rnacentral:rRNA from 1 species
AUGGUGUGGAACGUGAGGGGUCUCAACAGCGCAGCUAGGGGGGCUGCCAUGAGAAGCUUGGUGGAGGACGCCUUGGCGUCGGUAGUGUGCCUUCUGGAGUCAAAACUCGAGAGGGUGGAUCAGCGCAUGAUCCACUUGCUGCUAGGGCUGAAAUUUGACGCGUUCGUGGCCCUUCCUGCACAAGGCAUGGCUGGCGGAAUCAUC